rnacentral:lncRNA from 1 species
GAAGUUUAAGCUUUUUUGUGUUUUGUUGAUUAGUCAGAGACAUUUCGAGCAGGCAGAGGAUCAUUAUGGACAGCGCUGUCUGAGAAGAGCCAUGGCAGACUGGCAUCUGUAUGUAGAUCACAAAAGACAGAAGAGAGAGAAACUUGCACGAAUGGAGAAACAUUACAACAGUAGAUUGCUCAGACAUGCUCUAGAGGCUUGGAAGUCAUACCAUUUGCAGACUCAAUCGAUCAACCAAAAUGUAGAGUGCCGUUACCAGGAGCAUCAGCAGCACCUUGUCAGGUAUUAUUAUGAUCUAUUUGUUAUAAUUUACUGUAGUGUGUAUUUUAAGAUAUGUGAUCUGUUCUGUCCUUUUUUAUUUAUGUUUCUGCAGAAGAAUGUUCUAUUCGUGGAGGAUAAACGUGGCACAGUUGACGGAAGAGAGAGAGAAGGAAAGCAGAGCAAAAUGUUUUUCUCAAAAGCACCUUCUAUCUCAGUUCACUUGCAGGUGGCUUUGAGAAGAUGGAGAGAGCGAAGCACAGAGGUAAAAGACGAGAGACUCGAGAAUGAGAGGGCCAGCACACACUACAGCAGAACCCUGGGGAAAAGAACCCUCAACACAUGGACCACUAAUAUUCAGCAUCACAAAACUUAUCAGGUAAUGAAGAAAAGAAGCUUUGAGCUUCAUAAGUUGAGGAUUUGUCAGCACUUUUUUAUCUGCUGGAAACACAGCUGCAGAGCAGAAGAAUAGAAGCAGAGAAAACUGAGACUGCCCUUUGGCAUUGGUCCCUCAACCUACAGGCCAAGGUAAUGCCAGAUCAUGCACCACUUAUUAAUGAUAAUGCAAGUUUCCUGCAACUGCAUAAUUUC